rnacentral:lncRNA from 1 species
GGGCGACACCACGAGUUAUUUCCCAGCUAUUUCCCGGUCCGGGAGCUCUUGGCCCCUGAACAACUGGUUUCCUCUUGGAGUCUGGGAGGAGGAAAGCGGAGCCGGCAGGGAGCGAACCAGGACUGGGGUGACGGCAGGGCAGGGGGCGCCUGGCCGGGGAGAAGCGCGGGGGCUGGAGCACCACCAACUGGAGGGUCCGGAGUAGCGAGCGCCCCGAAGGAGGCCAUCGGGGAGCCGGGAGGGGGGACUGCGAGAGGACCCCGGCGUCCGGGCUCCCGGUGCCAGCGCUAUGAGGCCACUCCUCGUCCUGCUGCUCCUGGGCCUGGCGGCCGGCUCGCCCCCACUGGACGACAACAAGAUCCCCAGCCUCUGCCCGGGGCACCCCGGCCUUCCAGGACUGCCGGGACCUCGAGGGGACCCCGGGCCGCGAGGAGAGGCGGGACCCGCGGGGCCCACCGGGCCUGCCGGG